UCAUUGGGACGAGCCUUAGUUAUUGGCUAUUCAUUCUACUACAUAAAUUUAAAAAGUAAAAAUUUAAAUAAUAGUUGUUAUUAUCAUAGUAGCUCGAUAUUUCAUAACCGAUAUUUUACUAAAUAUAAUACCCCAAGUAACUAAAAGUAAAACUACAAGAGUCUCUUCAGUGGCUAUUUGUCAUAAUCCAAGAGGCGUUUCAUACCACUGAUUCCCGAAAUACCUUGCAAGAAGGAAGGCUUGGAUUUUAGCUUGUCGAAGAAAAGACGAAUUCAAUACUGAUGAAGCCAGAAUUUGUGCUCAUCAUUUUGAUCCUUUGUGUUUCAAAAGAAACUUGAGGAAUGAACUUUUGAGAACUCAAACUAAAACCUUUUUUGGAACCUAAUGUUAUUCCAACCUGUCCAAAAAGACUAUAUAAACCCAAAAAAAAGAUAGAGUUAACAGAGUUGCCGAUGGAAUAAGGAAAAAUGAGGUCCUGGGACUUAUGGAUUAUAUCAUUCUGUCAAAUAAGACACCAGAGUCUGAAGAUUUGAAUCAAAAAGCUACCCUAGAUAAUUCAAAAGAAGUAUCUCCUAAUGAUACCAGCAUUCAGUGUAACAUUAUACAGCCUCAUUCAAUAUAUAUAACAGAAAAUGAUUACCUUAAGAAAAUACUUUUAAAAGCAGAAAAUGAUAUUUCAAAUUUGCGUAAGGAAAACAGGUAUCUGAAGACUAAGAAACAUGAGAAAUGUAAUGUAUUAAUACCAUUUAUUGAAGAGAGCUCGUGAUCAUCUGCUAGAUAAAGGAUUUUUUACAUUUUCAAGGGAUGGCACACGUUCAGCUAAGCUUGAGAAGUCGGAUUUAAAAAAGUUCCAAUUCAAGAUGGCAAUUAUUUUAAGAUAGCACAUAAACUCAGUGACAUUCAUUUAAAUUGCAAGGGAAAUGCUAGAAAGCGCGUUUCAUAUGCAGCUCAAUUACUAUCAAGAACAACUGCUAAAGCGAUAUCUUUUAAAUUAAUGAAAAUUGAUAAAGAAGACGCGAAACUAAAAGAAGAAUUAAUUCUUGCAUUUGACUCUUAGUUCAAUAUUUUAAAUUCCCGUAGAAGAUUCGAUAAGAAGGAAAUGUCAUGUGGGUUUGGAAUACAUUGGGAAGAACAGCAAUUCGUAUUAGACAAAAUGGAAGUUCUCAUUCAUUCUAUAAAAAUUAUUAAAUUCGUGGUAUAUCCGUUGAUAAUUCCCAUCCAGCACCAGUCGAAGUUCAAUCAAGGAUAAAAAAUUUAUUAGUUGGAAAACACGCACAGUUUUAUGUUCUUCAGUAAAAAUGGAAGAAGAAAAUGAUAAUGGUCCUUGUUUUACUGCCAAGAUAUUUGAAAGUGUUGGGAUAACGCCAGAGUCCAUCGAUGAACAUAUGGAUGAGCUGAAGUCCCAGAUUGAUUCAUAGGAAAUUUUGAAUGAUUUUGAGCUUAUAAAAUCAUGUCAGGUAUCAAAAUUAUUUGAAAUUUCUGAGAAUGUAAAGUGGGAUUGCAAUGUUCAAGGACUGAGCUAUGUAGCUGGGUAUAUUGCAAAAAAAUUUAAUGAAAAAUAUCCAGUACUUGGUACCAUUUCCUCGCAAGUACAUCGUGAUGAAGCAUUGCUUGCUUUCUGGUUAAUGCACCUCUCAAAGGGGGGGUUUAAUGGUCCCAAAAGAAAACAAAAUAAUUACUGUAAGCUUUUUAAUCAGGAUUUUUGUCAUCAGAAGAAGUGCUUGUGUUUUUUUCUAAAGUGCGAACAUUCAUUAGAAUUAAAUCACUCAACUAUAAUUUAAGAGUGCAAGAAGCUAAUGCUAAAGCCAGAAGGCUUGAACAAUUUAGUAUUUAAAGUUUAAUUAUUAUCAAUUUAGAUAAUCCCUCAUUCAUAAUUUUUUAUGCAUUAUAUUAUUAAGCUAUAUCACUCUAAAUAAACCUUCAUAACUCUCUGAAA
rnacentral:lncRNA from 1 species